GUGAUAAUCAACAUGAGAUUUGAUAUAUAUUUUUUUUUCUUUUCCGACGAUGAUGCUGAUAAGCGAGGUGGUGCUGGUGCGGCACGUCACCGGCGUCGGAGGUGAUAGUGGUGGAUGGUUGGGUUCGGGCACAGAAAACUGGUUCAACAGGUCAGAUGUCAGCUUCGGGUUAAGCCCGGUUAAUACCAGUCAACGACUUCGGAUUCGGGUUCGCGACUCAGUUUGGGUUCGGGUCAGACACACGACUCCAUCAAAGCCGGUCAAACGUGGUCAAGCAUUCAACGGGUCAGUUUUGGGGUUCACACAGUUCAGAUUUCGGGUUUAGUUCAUGUUCGACAAGAACGGUUCAGGAUUCAAGUCAGAUUUUGUUGGGUUUUUGGCUCGGUUUCGGGUCACGGUCAAAGUCAGUCAACUGGUCAACUUCAGUAAACAAAAAUCAACGGUCAAACUGUCGGUCAACAGCAGUCAACGUCGGU